rnacentral:rRNA from 1 species
UACGUAGGGGGCAAGCGUUGUCCGGAUUUAUUGGGCGUAAAGAGCGUGUAGGCGGCCAGGUAGGUCCAUUGUGAAAACUCGAGGCUCAACCUCGAGACGCCGAUGGAAACCAUCUGGCUAGAGUCCGGAAGAGGAGAGUGGAAUUCCCGGUGUAGCGGUGAAAUGCGCAGAUAUCGGGAAGAACACCCGUGGCUAAGGCGGCUCUCUAGUACGGUACUGACGCUGAGACGCGAAAGCGUGGGGAGCGAACAGG